GGGUCGUUAGCUCAGGGUAGAGCAGUUGACUUUUAAUCAAUUGGUCGCAGGUUCGAAUCCUGCACGACCCACCA
rnacentral:tRNA from 1 species